AUGAGCUUUCUGGACAAAUUCUGUGACUAUUACGACAAAAUUGAGGUCUACUGUGAUGGUAUGAUUUUAUACAAUGGCGAACGAGACAAGAAAAUGAAAGAAUUGCCGGAGCACCACCACCAGCAGCAGCCUAUGGACACCAUCCACCGCCACCAGCGGCCAACAGGAGGAAAGGGACGUCCCGCCUUAUCGCCUCCGCCGCCCCACUACAGCAGAAAAGAAUCGGUUGGCCGGCGCCGUCAGCCCCGCGCGGCGGCGGCGGCGGGGGGAGUGUGCGGCUGCUGCGGCAGCGGGUGGUGGAACAGCGAGGGCGCGUCGCGGCCGCCGAGGUCCAUGGAGGACCUGGCGGAGCCCGGCGGCGCGGCGAAGCGGGCGGAGAAGUCGGGGUACCCCGGGAGCUCGCCGCCCGGGGCGCCCUCCGGGGUGGCGCCGUGGCCCUCGUCGAAGUUGAGCGCGUAGCUGAGCGCGUCGUAGUUGAGCUUCCGCCCCCCGCCGGCGCCGGCGCCGGCCCCGUGCCGGUGGUGCCCGCGGCGGAACCGCCGGAUGAAGGUCUUCCAGCGCGGGCCGGCCACCAGCUCCGACCACUCGCGCACCUUCAUCAGCGCGUCCACCCCGCGCCGCCACCACCGCCGCCGCUCCGCGCCCGCCCUCGUCCCUUCCCCGACCUGGUGCCACCACUCCUCGUCCGUCGUGGUCGGCCCCGCGCGGCGGGCGUGCGAGGAGGAGGACGACGACUGCCACGGCGCGGAGAAGCAGCAGCAGCGGUACCGGCGGCGCGAGAAGAAGGCCGCGUCGGCGUCGUCGGGCGCGCCGCCGUAGCCGCCUCCGUCCAU
rnacentral:rRNA from 1 species